CCUACGGGAGGCAGCAGUGGGGAAUAUUGCACAAUGGGGGAAACCCUGAUGCAGCGACGCCGCGUGAAGGAAGAAGUAUUUCGGUAUGUAAAAUUCUAUCAGCAGGGAAGAAAAUGACGGUACCUGACUAAGAAGCCACGGCUAACUACGUUCCAGCAGCCGCGGUAAUACGUAGGGGGCAAGCGUUAUCCGGAUUUACUGGGUGUAAAGGGAGCGUAGGCGGCGUUGCAAGUCAGAAGUGAAAGCCCGGGGCUCAACUCUGGGACUGCUUUUGAAACUGUGUUGCUAGAGUGCAGGAGAGGUAAGUGGAAUUCCUGGUGUAGCGGUGAAAUGCGUAGAUAUUAGGAGGAACACCGGUGGCGAAGGCGGCUUACUGGACUGUAAAUGACGCUGAGGCUCGAAAGCGUGGGGAGCAAACAGGAUUAGAUACCCGUGUAGUC
rnacentral:rRNA from 1 species